rnacentral:rRNA from 1 species
AGAGUUUGAUCAUGGCUCAGAACGAACGCUGGCGGCAGGCUUAACACAUGCAAGUCGAGCGCCCAGCAAUGGGAGCGGCGCACGGGUGAGUAACACGUGGGAACGUGCCCUUUGGUUCGGAAUAACGUAGGGAAACUUGCGCUAAUACCGGAUAAGCCCUAACGGGGAAAGAUUUAUCGCAUUGGAGCGGCCCGCGUCCGAUUAGCUAGUUGGUGGGGUAAAGGCCUACCAAGGCGAUGAUCUGUAGCUGGUCUGAGAGGACGGACAGCCACACUGGGACUGAGACACGGCCCAGACUCCUACGGGAGGCAGCAGUGGGGAAUAUUGGACAAUGGGGGCAACCCUGAUCCAGCGAUGCCGCGUGUGUGAAGAAGGCCUGCGGGUUGUAAAGCACUUUCAGUUGGGAAGAGAGAUAUGGGCUGAAUAAGCUUAUGUUGAGACGUUACUGACAGAAGAAGCACCGGCUAACUCUGUGCCAGCAGCCGCGGUAAUACAGAGGGUGCGAGCGUUAAUCGGAGUGACUGGGCGUAAAGGGCGCGUAGGCGGUUAGAUUAGUCUGAUGUGAAAGACCUGGGCUUAACCUGGGAUGUGCAUUGGAAACGGUCUAGCUAGAGUAUGAGAGAGGGAAGUGGAAUUUCCGGUGUAGCGGUGAAAUGCGUAGAUAUCGGGAAGAACACUCGUGGCGAAGGCGACUUUCUGGCUCAAAACUGACGCUGAGGCGCGAUGGCGUGGGGAGCAAACAGGAUUAGAUACCCUAGUAGUCC